GAUGAACGCUAGCGGCAGGCUUAAUACAUGCAAGUCGAGGGGCAGCGGGAGUAGCAAUACUUGCCGGCGACCGGCGCACGGGUGCGUAACACGUAUGUAAUCUGCCCAUCACAGGAGGAUAGCCCGGAGAAAUUCGGAUUAAUACUCCAUAAUAGAAGAUAAAGCAUUUUAUUUUCUUGAAAGUUCCGACGGUGAUGGAUGAACAUGCGACUGAUUAGUUUGUUGGUGAGGUAAGAGCUCACCAAGGCGAAGACGGGUAGCUGGUCUGAGAGGAUGAUCAGCCACACUGGAACUGAGACACGGUCCAGACUCCUACGGGAGGCAGCAGUGGGGAAUAUUGCGCAAUGGGCGAAAGCCUGACGCAGCCACGCCGCGUGAGCGAUGAAGGCCUUCGGUCGUAAGACUCUGUGGGAGGAGAAGAA
rnacentral:rRNA from 1 species